rnacentral:rRNA from 1 species
GCACCACAAGAACGCGUGGAGCAUGUGGCUUAAUUUGACUCAACGCGGGAAAUCUUACCGGGUCCGGACACACUGAGGAUCGACAGGCAAUAUCUUGGCUGUUUAAUAACCGUUUAUUAAUAAACGGUUUAUUAAACAGAUCGAGUGUUAAAUAUGCUAGUCCUUUCAUGAUUAUGUGAUAGGUGGUGCAUGGCCGUUCUUAGUUCGUGGAGUGAUCUGUCUGCUUAAUUGCGUUUCACUAAGGGCCCAUAAAUUCAAGGUAUGUUAGCAAUCGUCGCUCUAUGGACCCCUUAUUUCAGUUUAUUAAUAAACUGUUAUAAGCGCGCGUCUUGUUUAAAGAAUUUAAGACACUGCGCAUGCUGUUGGGCUCUGAAAGCAACGAACGUGACCGCAACGUCUUGUUGCCUUAAUCAAGUCGGCUGUUUAAUAAUCUGUUUAAUUAAACAGACAGACAGCAGUCAUUAUAUGGCUUAUCCGAGGCUAUUUAAAACUAGACGAACCGCUGUUUCUUUUCUUAAACCAGAGGAAGGUUGCGGCAAUAACAGGUCUGUGAUG